UACGUAGGGGGCGAGCGUUGUCCGGAUUUAUUGGGCGUAAAGAGCUCGUAGGCGGUUUGGUAAGUUGGAUGUGAAAUCUCCAGGCUCAACUUGGAGGGGUCAUUCGAUACUGCCAUGACUAGAGUUCGGUAGGGGAGUGUGGAAUUCCCGGUGGAGCGGUGAAAUGCGCAGAUAUCAGGAGGAACACCCGUAGCGAAGGCGGCACUCUGGGCCGGAACUGACGCUGAGGAGCGAAAGCGUGGGGAGCGAACAGG
rnacentral:rRNA from 1 species